AUUAGAGGCUGGGGGACCUAUCUCUCUCCCUCUCAUUUGCUCUCUUUCCCUCUCACACUCUUUCGCUCUCUCUUUCUAGAAAGAAAAGAAGGAGAAGAAGAAGGAGGAGAAGAAGGAGAAGAAAGAAAGGAAGGAAAAGAAGAAGAAGUGGAAGGAGAAGUCCAAGAAGAAGAAGAAGAAGGUCUUCUUCCCUCUUUCCU
rnacentral:lncRNA from 1 species